rnacentral:lncRNA from 1 species
UUACAAGUACAUAUCUUACAAUGAUAGCAAGGCCAAAGGCACCCUUGGUGCUGCACAGUAUCUACAUUAUUUAUGAGACAUAGUGGGGCCUCGAAACUACUAAGUACUUCUACAGCGUAGAGGAACAUAGCGAGAACUCCAUACACAGGGACACUGUUGUGGACACUUCCUAGUACGCAUCAUCAGGACCUCCGUCCUCGACUUCUCCUGUAUCUGGCAUGAUACGCCAGGUGAUUACUUGGAAUGUACUCGCAAGCUCAUAAUAACCAAGCAAUGCAGCAAACAAUAGCAUGGCAACAAAUUAGGAAUAAUACCACUUGGCUUUAUAAUAUCCACUUACUCAUGUCCGGGGUUGUCCCACAACCACCGGAAUGCUUAUCAAGCAUCUCCAUUCAACUGGAGGGUUCUUCCAUCACUACUAACAUCCACACGGUUGACCAUCUACUGAGGUCUGGUCGGGUUGUCCAUUACCGUGGACACGACUAUUCGAAUAGGUUUGACAAUCUGCAGAGGUUGCACACUUUACCCACACUCUGGAGCACUGACCUCGUGAUCCCAUUCGGGUGGACCAACAUUGCUCCAAGGCAACUUGCCUGACCCGUGACUCUCUCAUCAUAUCCCCGGCAACCACUCCCUUCCGGAGUCCUGCCCUGGGUGGCCCUGUGUCCUCGUGACACAUGUGUCCUCAUAAUACCUGCCACCGUCGUGGCCAAACAAAAUUGUCCCAACCUGGGAUGGGCCCAACUCAACUUAACUGGGCUCACAGGGUUAUCACCUCCCAUCGGGCCAAGGUAGCAUGCGUGCAUAACCCUCGCUCUUUGGGGAAUAUCGGUGAGAGAUCACGCGGACAGCCCAAGUCACGGCCUUCCCAUACCGGCAAGAGGUGGUUGUAUGAUUAUGCCCGGUCAGGUGACUCAUGAUCAUCCACUAUGCCAUAGUAACCAUAGUGAUUUAUAAUCAUAAGAAUAUAUCUCUAUAUGAUAGUUUAUUAAAUGAUUAUUUUUUAACAAGUUAAGCAAGUAUAAUGCAUGAAGAUGUGAGUUAUGCUAUGCAAAACUACAUCACAUGGAUAUGAUGGCUUGCCUUGAUCAGUGGGGUUGUUCAAACACUCCUGGUCUUCAAAGU